ensembl:lncRNA
GAGGUAGGGGGCUGCAGCAGGGCUAGGCAUGGCCCAGGCAGAGCAGCAGGAAGCAGGGCUGGGCACAUAUUGCACCAGCACCACACAGGUUGGGCAUCCCCAACACCUGAAACAGCCUCGAGCUUUCUUCAGGAUUUUACAGAGAAGAGCUUUGUUAGUGGAGGGCUGGCAACAGCUUCCCCUCCAGCUCAACAUUCAAGUCUUGGCUUGAGCUGCAUUCCGUGAUCAAUAAAGUCCACAGGAAAGGGAAAAAAAACACCCUGAGGGAUCAGAAGCCCCAGCGAGGGGGAGCCCCCACCAGAGGUGUACCCGUCCUCAAAGCUGUCCUCAAACCUGCCCAGGGAACGCAAAGCCCACCACACCACUUCAGCAAGUCUGGGUGCCUUCUGGUGAAGACCUUAAGUCAGAUAACUACAGAACAGUGCUAGUUAGGCAUCAACUCAAAAUCCUGUAAACAUAUGUAAACCUAUGUUUUAAUACUAUAGAUGCUGUUUUGAACAUGCUGAAGUCUGGUGAACCCAACAGCAACAACAGCCCCACAGAACCAUGCCCGGACAGGAGCAGACCAUUUGCUGGUUUCUCUGUGCUCUCCAAGUGGUUCCUUCCAUGUCACAUUGACUGACUGAUGCAUCUCCAAGCUUACAGCUGUAAACAACUUCAUUACAUUUAGAUCCCUGAAGACAGAGCCAGCUCAAACUACUGAAAUGUAAAACAAACAGGAAAUACAAGGUAGCUGAUUAUCCACAUAGAGAUACAGACUGUAAUUGUAGAGCUAUCUCCAGGGUGCUCUGUUGGAAAGGAAGCCAUACUCAGCCAUCUCCUCAGGAGUAGGAGCACUUGGGUUUAACUCAGAGCAUUGUUGCCUUAAAGAGAUGCAGCACUGGGAAUUUUAAUGCCAUAUGCUUCGAGUUGUUGACCCAAAUUUCAGCACACCGAAGCCUCUACCAACACUCAAUCAGAACAAACUUUGUAACUGGAAAAAGCAUCUAACAAUUUGGAAAUGCACAAACAUAAUGAAAAAUGCAGCAGCACUGCCAGUGCACUCUGAGAAUCACCGCUGCCAUCUGAAGGGAAGGGCAGCAUCUCUGCUCACUGCUGCUGCAUGAUUCACCUGCAGCUCUGCUCAUUAGCAUCCUCUGCCAGGAAAUAGUGGGAAGGGAAAGACUUUUGGAAAAGAAAAAUAACACCAGAGAUGUUGUUAUAACAGUUCGGAAUAUUUCCAGUAAUGCUUCAGAUGCUGCAGUGAGAGAUCUAACCCAACAGCUUUUGGAAACAAGGCGGUAGUAUUUACCAUCAUACCUUCCCCAGCUCAGUAUGCCGAGAGCUGAGCGAAGGGAAAGCAGACAGCCUUGGAAUGGUUAAAUGUUUGGGCUUUUGUUUUACUCUUGAUAACUCCAUCAAAACAGAAGAACAGGCUGAGAAGCAGUCUCCGUACAACGUACUAGACCUUGUCCCACGGUAAAGAUAAACACACUUCUGCAGAAGGACAAAACUGUUUCAACAUAUUGAGCAGACAUUCCUGAGAUUUCUAAAAUUAUCUUUCUGACUGCAGACUGAAGAGGCUGAAUCCCAUACCCCGAACAAACAACAGAGCUUGGGACUCACCUCCCUCCAACGCAAAGCAGGAGCCCACCAUCCCCACGCUGGGUUUCGUAUCUUGGGAACAGAGCCGUUCUUGGAAAGGGCUCUUCCAAGUGCUCAUUUCUUACCCAGGAGCUGAUGAAUGAAGGCCUGACCUCUCUGCCAGCAGCGGGGAUGGCUGAGAGGCAGAGCCCUUAUGUGAAAGCAGAACAGGGAGGGGAGCCCAGAGCUGCUGCUCAGAGCCGCGGUGAAAAGCUUUGGCACUACUGUGCUGCACUUGCAAUUAUUUCAAGCAAUCAGCUUUAGAAAAACACUAAUAAAUAAGGUUCAUUACUCCUUUCGCAUAACAGUACAACUUGUACUUAACCUUCCUGUCACUAAAGAAAUAUUACAUUUAAGAAAGCAUCACAGUAUCAAUUUAACAACUGAGCAAACAAUACCUUCAGGCUGUUUGCCUGUUGACCUUUGAUUUACAGCUACAUUUUGUCAGGGUGCUUUUUUUUUUUUUCCUUUUUUUUUUUUAAAUUAAGAUGCUUAUAUCCUGAAGGGUAACAAAGUUCACUCUAUUAAAUUAACAUCUGCUAUAAAUAAUGCACUAUCAGAGAGUCAUUUGCAAAGCAUCAAAGAAGAGCAUUACGAAUGCUCAUCAACACCUGAAAACUGAACUCAGACCCGAGCAGGGCACAGGCUCUGCUGUGCUGCCCUCAGUGGUAACACGGAGUGCUAACACACUGACCGAGCUGCCAAGGCCUUUUCUUAUUAAAACAAAGUCUCCCAGAGCAAUCGUUCCACUUCCCUGGACCCAGAGGGAGCUCUGCAAGAGGCUCCUGGAGACUAAUCCUGCCCUCCCUUUCCCCAAGGUGGGAGCAUCAAGUUCAGCAGUUUCUAAUGCUACACUGGUGUGGGCAUUGGGUCCCUCAGCACUGGAUUAGCAGGAGCAGCACGUGCUCUGAGAAGAGCUCUAUUUAUUGCUGCAGAUCUCUGCAGCUUACUGCUGCCAUAUGCAACUAUACUUCCACCAUACCUCACCAUCACUUCUGCACCAAAAGAGGCAAAGGAAACAAAAGGAGAAAUUACCCUCUAAAACAAGUCCUUUUUUUUUUUAAUGUAUAUAUAUAUACACACACACACACACACACACACACACUAAAACCUUUAGUGAAGAAAUAUAAAACACAAUUGCAGCAAAAGCUUGGAUUGCUGCUUCAGACUCUAAUGGCUUCAUAACUGUAAUUAAGGCUUCUUUCUGACUUCAUAACUCUGCCAUACGCAUUUACCAAAAGCACAUUACCACAAUGGACACAUUCUCUCUUCCUGCAUUAUUCCGACAGCUCCCUUCGGACGUUAUCAGUAAAUAAAAUCUAACACGGUCCAAUUAAAGAAAGCACAAAAUCAUUUCUCUGUGGCUAUUUCAUUUGAAUGCGCCGCUAUCGCAUCUUUUAAAUGGAAAAGUGAGUUUUGAAUAACAGUAACAAAAGCCCUGCCCAGAACAGCUCCAGGACGUGCAGCAUUUCUGCUGCUCAGAGUCAAGGGAAGGAAGGAGCAGCGUGACUCUGGAGCUUUGUUUUAGCACAGGAGGAGGAGAGGCUUUGACAGCAGAGAGACUUCUGUCAAGUGCAUUUGGCCUCACGUCAAGCCUCUGCCUUGGCAAAUCGGGCUGGGAGCCCUUGAAUGGUGGAAGUGUACGACAGAACACAACAUGCACUAUUUCCCCACUCCAACGGAAACCAGAAGGGAACCGCAGCUCUCCUUCAUCCCAUUGCCUCCAAUGGCUGCCAGGAGUGUGGCUCACGUGUGUGCAGCCUCCCAGCAGCCCCAGCCCACGCCAAGCCCGUUGCCUUGUGGCAGGGACCACACGGUGCUGCUGCCAGAGGAGCUGCAGGGGAAGCGCACAUGUGCAGUGCUCACACUGUGCAGUGCUCACACUGUGCAGUGACUGCUGCCAGAAGUGCAAAUGCAAGUGGGGGAGUAUUGGCAUGAGCUGCGCUGCAUGGAGAGAAAAGCAGGGCUGGCAAUAUGGAGAAUCCAUAAUAUCCUCUGCACCUGGGUAGCUCGGGGCACUCGAGCCUGAAUGCUCUUUAACUGGAGGGAGAGGAAGAUAGAGAAGAUGCAAAAUACACAUGACUCUCCUUGCCACCGUAUUUUCCCCAGAGAUUUUGCAUUAGCCAGCCUGCAGAUACGGCAGCUUGAGAGAUUAGGGAACACAUUACCUUUUCCUUAAGCAAAUGUAAAGAUAAUUUAAACCAAACUGAGAUCUAACAGCAACUCUUCAUCUCUGCCAUGUUCUUUUUGCCACACGCUUCUCCCCCAUCUCUUCACUACUACCCUAGAGAAAAACUUGGCAGGUUAAGUACAGAAUUGUUACUACUAUUAGGCAAGCGCUCAGGACAGAACAACAACUCCCCCUUCACAUCCCUUACCGGUUACCGUGCUACUUGCUGCUGGGUGGGAGAACGUGCACUCUGAGAGCUCUGACUGCUGCUCACUGCUGGCACAGCUGUGGGGAGGAUUAUUCUCACCAGAACUCUUCACAGCAUAGCUCUGUUCCUCCAAUUUUAGUACCUUAUGCAAAAAUCACCACCAGAUUUCCCUAACAGCUUCUGAGAGAUGCUGCAACGCAGCCAGGCAGCGUACAGACCUGUUCUUGGGGUUCUGACCCCAGGCUGUAGGAGGGGGGUUGGACCCAUCCAGCAGCCCUCUAGAGAGCCCGGACAAAUGCACUAGGACUGGCUGCUGCUAAUUGAAAGCACAAUUCAAACAUGGACAUGCACUUCACCGAGCUGCUCUAUCAGCUACAUGGAAAGAAGCUGCAUCGAACUCUACAUAAAUAGAAAAAGUCCUACAUACAGCAUUACCCAGGGGCUGUUCAUGAGGCCACCAUCCAGAAGCAGACUGCCAGGCUUCCAUGCAAUAAGGCACUGCUGCAACAAAACCACCUCCUGGUGCUCUUAGCUACAAACAGCCUUUUUAAAUAAAGUGGAAAAGUGCUUAUGAGGGAAUUUGCCACACAUUUCCUCCCUCCAGUCAGCACUUCCCAACAGGAGCCGGUCUACAAAUAUCAUCAGCAAUUCCUCCCCACCAGGGAGACAGAAGAAUAAAAGAAUUUGGACCACACAAACAUAUCCUUCAUCUUGGGAGGAAGUUGUGACGGGCCAUCGUGCUGCCCAGUAUCUGUACGUGCUCCAUUAACUGCCUGCAGAAGCAGAAAGGAACAAAUGCUGAACACGUAAGGUACAUUCAAGGCUUUUAGCCCUCAUUUAGCUUUAUUGAUAGUAGCAAUUGUUUUAUUUAGUUAGCUGUACUUAUACUAAGUAUAACAGGCCCAAAGGCUCCUGGCAAAGCAUCGUUGGGGCAGCUGGCUCAGCUGCCAUCACACUGUGCCAGGUAUUCCCUUCCUGAAUCACCUAUUCUUGGCAUAUCCCAGGAAAAAAAGAAAACAAAAAAACAGGAAUAAAGAUUCCUCUCAUUUCCCCAAGCUCCUGACAGUUCCUACCUACUCAGGCUGCUCUCUGCCAGCACCAUGUUGCUGCCAGCACAGAUUUCUUGGCCAGUGCCCUGCUCAGAGCAUCUCUCCAGGCAGCCAGCCCACUUUCUAGUUCAGGCAGAGCAGAAACCCAGCAGAGCCAUCAGCAGCACCAUGUAGGUUUCUAUCCAGAGCUCGGAGCCUCCAGAGAACCCCCUGAUUUGAGGCUUUCAGUGCCCAGAGCACAACCUAUGGACAAAAGGACACACCAGCUCUCCUGGGACAGCUCACACGUUCCAGGUGCAGGUGCUGAUGGAGCACACAGCGUACUUUGGUGCUGUGUUUGCCACACACACCAGCUUGCAAAGACUCCCAAAGAGAAGAUCCCAUUAAGAAGAGCUCGACUGAAACAAAGUGGCACAGUGAGGCACCCAAGGAAACAGGCUCAACCCCAGCUGCUUCCCUUCUGCACAGCUGUCACACCACGCUCCCCACUGAUGAACACCAGGGUGUGGAGAAGCAGCUCAGCCAAAGCUAGAGGGACUCCCUGCAUCCCUGGCGGAGGCAGCAGCAGCACUGAGGUGGGGCAAAGGGCAGGUUAGGCAGCAAAAUGAUUUUUCUCAAGCAAAGCCCAGCCCCAGAAAGCCUGGCAACUUUUUUCCCCCCACUAUCCUUCAAAUGCAUAAGAUGAUUCCUCAUAAAAAGUACACCAAGAAUAAAGGAACUAACUCUCUAAUAAAGUUUUAUCGCUUCCUACACACAGCCCUCAGAGGAGGACCCACAGAUUCAUGGCCAGCUAUAGAAGGGCUGACGUAAUGCUGCACCCAUCUGAAGGGCAAAACAAAUCCCUGCUGAUACGCUGGCAACUGGAAGCAUUAAACAUAAUCAAGAUAUGCUUAGCCCCAAACCAGAAAGGCAAAGAAAAUACUUUGUCUUGCUGGUAAGCUGGUCACACCCUUGAGCUCUGGAGAGCAUGUAAAUCCUCAGGACUCGUUUGGAAGGAAAGCACGGCUGCUCUGCAGCAUGGGUUUGCACAGGGAGGGAGGGAGGUCCCAAUGAACAGCCAUCCAGGGGUACACAGACAGCACAGCUCCAUUUCAGAGCCUGGCUAUGAACACAGUGGAGCAGAAAUCAGAAGGGUUUCUGCCCCACACCCACAAGGCACUUUAUGCAAAGUAAGGCACAGCGCUUUACUUACACAGAAAUUGUCUUUUCAGCAUGCACCACUUAGCUAUCCAUUACCAACCCCAAAACAACAGGGCACAGGAGACUACUCUAAUGAACAGCACGAGCAGGAAAUACAGAGAUGCGGAGCAAGAUUUAAAGCACAAAUGAUUCAGGCACUUCUGCGUUUUACAGGAGGUCGUUCCCUGGACGUUUAUACUUCAUUUAUCAAAUUACAAUUGAAUCGGUGCAGUCAUCCUGAUUCGAGAAACCAUCGCGCUUCUUCUCCCUUCAGAAGGAGAAAUAAACCCUUGAUUUUUAAAGCAGUUUGUGCCAGAGGAUCCCAUGCCUCCCCAGGCCACGCAUGCAGCCAGCUGCUUGCCCACAGGCAGCCUUUCUGCCCAGCGCGGCACACAGCCAGCGCCCAGCUCUGUGCCUUGCCAAGCCAAUUACACCUUAACGAGGGGGAUUUUAUAGCCUGUAUUUUUCUACCGCUUUCCCUGUCAUCAUAAACAUCCCAGUGUUUGCUCACAAGUUGUUCCAUUAGAAACAAAUGUGCUGCCCUCCACGGCAGCGGAAUUUCUGCAGGAAAGCAUCAGAAGCGCGGUGCUGCCUUGCCAGCCACCUGCACACCUCCCCCUUUAAUUCAAACCCAGAGGCACGUUACAAUCACAUUAUUCCAACUAAAUCAAAUUAUUUUCCCCUGUUCCAAGACAUAAAACAACCGCAUUAUUAUAGCCAUAGACACCGUGAUUUAAUAUUUGAACAAAAAACACACGCCAUGAUAGGAGCAUAUUAAGCAGCAAAGCACUUCAUUACAGCUGGGACCAGCAUUUACGAUCCCCCAAACCAAAGAUGGUCUUGAGAACGAUACGCCCAAGUGCGUCACCUCAAAAGUACAACUUAAUCACAUAACAUUCAGCACGGAGCUCUCAAACACACCGCUCACCUUCUGGUUUUUUCCAGGGUGAAGAAAAGCUCAACGGUAAUAAAUCAUUUAACGCACCGGUGCAAGCAGCUUAUUUAGGAAAUGGGAUUUGCAAUGCAAAAAGUGAAGCCUGAAACAUUACCUUCGUGCUCAGCCAUUCCCCACGCCGUGCCAUGACAGGCCCCCAUCUGCCCAUCUUGCCCAUGGCAGCGCAUCACUGGGAGAGCCACCAGGGCUGCAGGCCACACCGAGGAGAUCAAGCAAAGUGCUCUGGGCGCUCAGCUACAGCCCAAACCAGUUCUUCGCCAAGAUGAGGGCAAUAUGUUAUUAACUGGAGUUUAAUUAUAUCCACAAACAUAUUUCUAGCUGAGGCACACAACCGUGGCUCUGUAGAUUUGUUUGUUCUUCUAGCGGUCCCAUUAAGAAAUUAGUUCUGUGUUCACUUUCACAGCCCAGCACACACGUUUAUCUGGUACUAACCUCGCUCCUGCUUUGUUUCCACAGAAAUUUUACUGGUUCCAUAUUAAUUAAAUUAAGUCAGAAACAGACAAUACUUCACAAAGGACCCUCUAAUCAGUGGCUAAUAAGGGCGGGCUGCAAUACAGCGUUUAUGCAAAAUGGGGAAGAUUGUUUUCCAAAGACAAAUCACAGCUCCAAAGGGUGAGCUACUGCCUCCCCACCUAUCAAGGGUAGAAAUUAAGAUGAUCUUUAUUAUUAUGUGAUGCUUCGGAUUAGGUGAGAUUGACUUCCAACAAGUCUCAUUCCCUAUAGGAAGAAUUGAGCUACUUGUAACAUACAGACAAUGCAUUCUUCUUUUAGGAGAAAAGCUGCAGAUAGAAUGAGUCAGCAGCAGAUGCUCAGCCAGGUCCCCACCGCCAGCCCUGCCCAGGAGCUGCACCCAUGGGGAAGCCGUAUGGCUCUCAAAGACCCCAGCACAAGAAAAAUCUCCCUGUGAGGCUGCCUGCCUUCCCCGGCACAACGCAGGAACCCAACCUGCCCACAAGCCCGGCCACCACGGAGGCAAUGCAAGCAGCUCUGAGUGCUUGGCAGCUCUGCCAGGAGCACAGGGCUGUGUGCCAGCAGAGCAUGCACCCUGCUCCGAUGGAGGGGGCAGAGCCCAAUUAACGACACCCAUCCUUAACAGUCAACAAACACCGCACAAACAGCUCGUUUGGGAAUUUUUUCUUUCUGAGAGCUUCCAUGCACUAACAGUAACUAUUGCAGGCAUGCAUUUAUUAGUACAGAAAGAUUUUUAUCUGAGAGAUCUGCAAUCAGCUUAACCUCUGGAAGCGCAGCCUGAUGUAACUUAGCCCCUGGCCAGAGUUUCUCAGCUGCUGUUACAUGGGGAGGCUGUGUCCAGCAGUGGGGCUGGCUCAGAGCAGUGUGGGUGACACCGGCAGGGCUGGGUGCUAGACUGCAACAUGGGGGCCAGAAGCACCUCAGUGUGAGGCUCUUACCCACAUCCUGCCCUCCUGCGAGGGGAAGGCCGCUGUCCGCAGUGCAGGGCUUGCAGCUCCAGCAUGUCCUCAGUGCUCUGCUGGGCACAGCGCUUCCAGAGCUACCAGCAACAGGAGGCUGGGCAGCAAGAAACCACUUUAUUCAAAGCAAUAGUAAUGUUAACACUUAGCUUACAUCUAAAAGAAAGGGAAAGAGUCCUUUGUCCACCGCUGUUCAUAAAUAUAAAAAGACCGGCUAAUGCUUUGCUCGACUUCUCACAGAAGUAUUUAUAACAUCACCCCUCUAUUUUUUUCUCCAGCAAUAAUCUAAUUCAUGCGCCUCUUAUCUUAGCUAUGAAACAGCAUGUUAAAUUCAAGAUCACAGCUCAUUUAGAUAAGUGGAACUGGGCCCAUCCAGCGACUCACCCCCGCUGUGACACUGCUUGCUCCCGGCAGAGCUAUUUCCAGGCUCGGCGUGGGCAGGGAGCUGGGAGGACUCACACAUCCCAGUGCAGCCCCGGCCCCUCCAUGAGGUCACAUGGGAACAGCCAAACUUUCCAAAGGAGACUGUAUGUACCUGGUGCAGCCAUGGGUUCAUAAGCAUUUUGGCAGCCUUUCCCAGAAACAACCUCCAAUAGUUACCUAGAAACAUAAUCCUUCAAAAUAAACCUCUUCAAAAUAAAUUAGAAAAAAACCUAAAAGAAUAAAAAGAGAACUUUUUAUUGGUAGACUGCAUUCUAGCUAUAAACAAGAAUUAGUAUACAAACAAGAACCACGGAUCAACGAAAUAGCUCACAUUCAUUUCACGGUUGUUUUCUUAGUUCUCAUACAAGCACAAAGAGUGAUGGAAGAGUUCCCCUUCCAUCAUCCAUUGCUGCUCUCCAGCAGCCCUCAAGAACACAGCUGAACCCCAUAGGCCUACAGCACCCAGUGAGCUGAAGUCAGCCUGUUGCUCUAGAGCUUAAUGCUCAAUACAUCCAGAAUAAGGUAAGAAUUCCAGUCACGUACAUGGAAAGCUCUUCUCCUGCACUGGACCAUUCCCCUUCUCUUGAGCUCUUUCCCCAAGUUUGCUCCUAAUCUGAAUAAAUACAGCAUUUACCCACCCCUCCUUUUAUUUUUUUAACCAAACACGACUGCCGGGAUGAUUUUCUUCAGAUACUCAGAGAGCUCCUGAUCUGCAUACUGAUUUCCAUUCAAUCUUCAUAAACAAAAAGGAUGCACAAGAGUUUGUCAGUCCAUCUGCUGCAGCCUGCAGGGCCAGGCACCGAGAUGAAAGCACACCCGUGAUGCAGAACCCACUGCCUUCUGUCAGAAGGGACACUUAUGGCAGUUUCCACUCAUGAUGGAGUGUCAGCUUGAAAACUUCAAGCGGUCCCCGGUCAGCAACCCCCUGACAACACUUCCAGCCCUUGGGCUCAGCUGAGGUUAUCUCACUGAUAACCAGCAUGCAACCCGGGACAGCUGUGCAACCUCAGCACAGCUACUCACUGGCAGUUACACACCCUGAAAAUCAUGCUUUGAGCCAAAAGAAACACCUGAGUGUUCAGACAACGCUCAUCCCAAGUCUGCUUCCAGAACACGAACUGCUGUGGGCCAGCUGGGAAGACUGAAUAUAAGGAUUUUCACACCUUCUCCUCACCCUUUAACCCUCUUCUCCGAUAAGCAAGCACUCCUGGAGCUGCCAUACAUCCAAGCCCAUCCAUGCUGCCCAGCUGUCUGCUCAGAGGAGCUGUGACAGCUCUACCUAUCUCAGGUCCCAGGGCGGGUUUUGCUCAAACCCACUACGCUGUGCUUUUGGUCUCAGUAGGAUACCACCCUAAACAGGUCCACAGGCAUACAAAACAUAAGGGAGCUUGGAAUGGAUGGAGGAAAGCAGCACAAGACAUGCACAAAGCAGGAUUGUCUCCUCAAAUAAGGGUGUAUUUCAUGCAAUAAAAAGUUAACAUCACUUAUCUGCAUACCAUCAAACAUCUGCUUCCAAAGGCCCUUGAGGCAGCCAGAUUUUCAAUCACCCUUCCCCCCUCUCUCCCUUAGAAGCCCACUGGGACUGUGGUCCCUGGGUUGUGAGUGCUCCUUGCUUCUGACUCUUUCACAGCAAGAAGGACGUUUAUCAGGUUAAACCCAGAUUUCCCUCCCUGUCUUACCAGCAGAGUUUUGGACUAAUCAGAAGACCAAAUAUAUUUUAAAGAUCUCAUUCUCCCUUCACUAUUUAUACUAGCCAAUGUCACUUUGACACUAUUUUGGCUUUCGUCUGCAAAAAACUUUCCAACUUAAAAAUCCCUUAAAACAAACAUGCUCUUAAAGCAGACAAAUGUGUUAUUCUCUCCACACCCCCCUCCCAUGUUAUCUUCAGCUGUCACCAAACUCACAGUAAGCAUUUUCCUUCUUGGGAACUAUAUGUUCCUGCAGUUAUAUUCACUGGACCAGAAGAGUCUGGCAUCAGAAAAAUAACUAUCUGAUUUCUUGGACCAGCUGCAAGAG